GUUUCAAAAAACAAAGGGUUUGUUUGUGUGGGUUCAACAUGGGGUCCCAUCUGUAGAGAAUCGUUUGAAAUUCAAAGUUUGAACUAUCCAGCAUAUGACAUGUCAAGGUAUCGGCCGACCGCCCGGGGUUAAACCUGGAUAUCUAAUCAACGCCCCCCAGGACCCCCCCAAACAAAACGCAUGACAGAACGGCUCUUUGAAUUCACAGCCUUUUGGUCUAAAGCAAACAUACAGUUAGUUGGUUGCAUACAGGCUAUCUCUCGAAACUCAUUCCGUACUUUAACAAGUUAGGGACAGAACGUCUAUUUUUAACACGUUUAGCACGGCUUUAGCGCAAACCCAAAGGCCCGAAUAUUUAACUGCCAGGACAGAUAGCAUAGUCUGUAAAGCCCUCCUAAUGGAUAUUUCUGAAGGCUACUGGACAUAAGUGAUUGGGAAGCGACUGUUAGACGUAGAUUCUCAGAAGCAAACGGCGCCCUGUCCUUUACGUAGCCCUUCACGAUCACACAUUUUUAGGCGUAAGUCCAAAUAAUCACAUACCCAAGAAUAUUUAUAUAUUAAAAAAAGAAAAAUGUGCACUCUGAACGACGUCGUAAGACAACAGGCAGCAGUCCCAGGACAGAUAACAGAGUAUGUGAAGCCCUCCUAAUGGAUAUUUCGGGAGCUGAGGGGGACAACGAUUUUUUAUUUUUUUUAUUUUGUAUUUUAUUUUAGGUAUGAUGGACAUCGGACACAUAGGGUGACUUGGAUGCAUUAGGGACUCUGAACGAUAUCGGAGGAACCGAUGAAACAGACAGUAUUCGGUCUUUUUGUAUGAACGUUUUUCCAAACACUCCAAGAACAGAGAAUUUAAACGUCCCGACAACAACCCAGGGAACCACCACCCCCACACAACAUAGUCCAGACCCCAACAACAAAAGCACAACGGUGGCCCAAGUGCAUUGCGCAGAAUCACCAGAGGUAUUAAUUCUAGGCAUUUACAUGUAUGUUUUUAAAAAUGAAGACUAUUUAUACAAUGAAACAAUGUUUUUUUAUUCACACUGUUUGUAAACAAUAACUUUUGCCCUCUUAGGGUCUACUUGACCUGCUUAUUGAUUAGAAAGUAUGAUUAGAAACCAAGGCUGUGGAAUAUAUUCGCUCUCACAGGCUAUGAAAAAGACAAAAGCUAGGACAUUGACUCCGGAGUGUUGAACUUAUGCCCACUCUACAACAACCCAGGUUGUUAUAUGACCCCUGAGGAUCAUCUACGAACGUUGGAACAUCUACAACUAUUGAAGAUGCAAAAAGGGGUUUUCAGAAACACAUUUGGUUUACAGAUAUGUAUUAUUAUAAAAAUAAUAUAACAUUAUUAUCAUAAUCUAAAACACUUUAAAGGAUCUCUAAUUCAAACAUGCAAGGAUAUAUAUAUAUAUAUGAUACGAUUAACCACUUUAAAACUGUUGCUGCAAUAUCACUUCUCAAUGUGUGUACAUUUCAAGCUUUCAACAACAAUAAACAAACCAGCUCAAUAAUGUUUCUCAGACUUACAAACUGUUGAGUUUUCCUAGUUAGUAAAGAAACAACCACUAAGCCAAAACCCCAAAAGUUGUAAUAUAAUCUGUAUACAAGUCAUUCUAUACAGAAAACAGGUACAUUUUGAUUGAUCAAGAAUUCCCAAUAGGUUUGUGUCACGCCCUGACCAUAGUUUGCUAUGUAUGUUUAUAGGUUUUGUUUGGUAUGGGUGUGAUAUGAGUGGGCAUUCUAUGCUGUAUGUCUAGUUUGUCUUUUUCCAGUGUUUGGCCGGAUAUUGUUUUCAAUCAGAGGCCUGUGUUAGUCGUUGUCUCUGAUCGGGAACCAUAUUUAGGUAGCCUGUGUUGUCAUUGUUGGGUGAUUGUCUAUGUUAGGUGCUUGUGUCAGCACAUUGGGUAUAUAGCGUCACGGUCGUUGUUCAUUUAUUGGCUUGUUCAGUUUACUUUGUGUUUUCGUCAUCCAUUAAAACGAUGCAUUCACACCA